rfam:Triticum aestivum genome assembly, contig: Triticum_aestivum_CS42_TGACv1_scaffold_343096_4DL
AUAACACUCCCUUCGUCCCAAAAUUCUUGUCUUAAAUUUGUCUAGAUACGGAUGAAUCUAAUUAAUAUUAAAACAUAACUUGAUACAUCCGUAUUUAGACAAAUCUAAGACAAGAAUUUUGGGACGGAGGGAGUAUCAA